AAAAGUAGAAAUUGAUGACACUGUCAUGAAAAGAGUAUCCCGCAAGUCCUCUACUCCAAUUGCCACAAGUCCAAUGGACUGUUAAUAAAGUCCUCAACUCAAGCUCUCAACUCCUCUAAAGCCCAAAAUGAAUAAAUUGUUUAGUGGAACCCUGGUUUCAGUCUCUCUUCCAGCACAUUUGUAUUCAGUUUUCGCAUUCUCCUCCUUUAGGUCAUGCAAAGAGUAUCGUCGGUUGCCCAAGAUUGAUCGACAUACGAACAAAUCCAAUGCUUAGUCUUAGAUGUGCUCCUGAUUUGAUAGCCAAAAGUACUGAGUAAAGGUUUUAGUGCAUAUGUUGGUUGCGGAAGAUUUAUUCCAACUCCCGCACCACAAGUGCAUGGUAUUUUUUAUUUAUUUCUUAACUUUUCUUUUGGGUAUGGCAAUGUUAGUCAAGAAGGCUAAUUGUAUCAUAAGUAAUUGAAGGGACUGUAUGUACCUCAAGAAUUAAUAGGCCACUCUAAACAGUCGUAUGAAUUCUGUUGUCACUGCCAUAGCCCACUGGUACAAGAAUAUUGUGCGUUCCGAAACUAGAAUAUUAGAACUAUCGAUCAAGUAUAAACUAAUGCAACUAGGAGAGCAUCUUUUUUUUCAUAAUGAAGGGUAUAGCCGUGCGGCUAUACCGUUUAAAUAAAAUAUACAGAAAAUUAGUUAAAUACUCAUUCCUAGACAUAAAACUAUAAAUAAACCCUAUACUAUUUAAUGUAUAU
rnacentral:lncRNA from 1 species